UACGUAGGGGGCUAGCGUUGCUCGGAAUCACUGGGCGUAAAGCGCACGUAGGCGGACUCUUAAGUCGGUGGUGAAAUCCUGGAGCUCAACUCCAGAACUGCCUUCGAUACUGAGAGUCUCGAGUCCGAGAGAGGUGAGUGGAACUGCGAGUGUAGAGGUGAAAUUCGUAGAUAUUCGCAAGAACACCAGUGGCGAAGGCGGCUCACUGGCUCGGUACUGACGCUGAGGUGCGAAAGCGUGGGGAGCAAACAGGG
rnacentral:rRNA from 1 species